rnacentral:misc_RNA from 1 species
GUCCCAUGAAGGGAAGGAGGUUUUUGCCCAUUGAAAAAAGAAUGAGACCUGCUUAUUGUAGUCUUAUAAAUGGAAAGGGACUUCAUUCUAAGUUGGAAAAUGACAUAGAGGAAGAGACAAUUGUCUAUUGUAGUUCAAAACACUUAUUAUUGUGGUAUAUAAGAUAGUUAAAGUAAUAAAUAUAUUGGAUUGUAUUUAGAUAAACUGAAAGAGAUUAACUAAUAUUUGCUACUAACAGUUUGAUGUGAGAGCUUUCUU